rnacentral:rRNA from 1 species
CAGCGCCGCGGGAAUACAGAGGGUGCGAGCGUUAAUCGGAUUUACUGGGCGUAAAGCGUGCGUAGGCGGCUUCUUAAGUCGGAUGUGAAAUCCCUGAGCUUAACUUAGGAAUUGCAUUCGAUACUGGGAAGCUAGAGUAUGGGAGAGGAUGGUAGAAUUCCAGGUGUAGCGGUGAAAUGCGUAGAGAUCUGGAGGAAUACCGAUGGCGAAGGCAGCCAUCUGGCCUAAUACUGACGCUGAGGUACGAAAGCAUGGGGAGCAAACAGGAUUAGAUACCCCAGUAGUCCCUGUCUCUUAUACA